AUACACAGUUGGUUCCAUUAGUGCCUGCACUAAGCCAUUCAGCUGAUAGCGCUGACUAGCCCAAUGUUAGACCAAUGGAAAAAAGCUUUUGGAGGGCUGUUUGGCUCAAGGUCCUGGUACAGAGGACCCUAGUGUGAAAUUACUCCGAACCAUCACUUUAACGCGGCCAGAGAGGGAGG